AACGAACGCUGGCGGCAUGCCUAACACAUGCAAGUCGAACGAGACCUUCGGGUCUAGUGGCGCACGGGUGCGUAACGCGUGGGAACCUGCCCUUAGGUUCGGAAUAACUCCCCGAAAGGGGUGCUAAUACCGGAUAAUUUCUUCGGACCAAAGAUUUAUCGCCUUUGGAUGGGCCCGCGUUGGAUUAGCUAGUUGGUAGGGUAAAAGCCUACCAAGGCGACGAUCCAUAGCUGGUCUGAGAGGAUGAUCAGCCACACUGGGACUGAGACACGGCCCAGACUCCUACGGGAGGCAGCAGUGGGGAAUAUUGGACAAUGGGCGAAAGCCUGAUCCAGCCAGGCCGCGUGAGUGAUGAAGGCCUUAGGGUUGUAAAGCUCUUUUAACCGGGAUGAUAGUGACGGUACCGGGAGAAUAAGCUCCGGCUAACUCCGUG
rnacentral:rRNA from 1 species